GCCUCGUGGGCCCUGAUGGCGAGCGCGCUGUUAGCCAAGAUGGGCCUGAUAGCGGCUCACUGCGUCAACGUCGUCCAGAUGUCCGAGCUCUAUCCGACCAAGCUGCGCACCACAGCCAUGUCCUUAACUAUCACCACGAGCCGCAUCGGGGCCAUACUGGCGCCCUUCACCAAGGAGCUGGGCGUGGUGUUCUUCUCGUGAGCGCCCAAGGUGGUCGACAUCGCGGGGUGCGCCUGCCUCAUCCUCGUGUCGCUCCCGCUGCCAGAGACGUUCAAGGAACCGCUGCCGGACACGCUGCACGACAUCAAGAUGGCCAAGAAGGGCCGGAAGGAAAAAAACCCCGUGGACUCCUACGUCGCAGCAGAAGCUCAACCAUUGCGGUAACAAACAUCCUAAGACUGAAGUUCUC
rnacentral:lncRNA from 1 species